rnacentral:rRNA from 1 species
ACUACGGGAGGCAGCAGUAGGGAAUUUUCGUCAAUGGGCGCAAGCCUGAACGAGCAAUGCCGCGUGAACGAGGAAGGUCUUCGGAUCGUAAAGUUCUGUUGAAGGGGAAAAAGAGCGGAGAGAGGAAAUGCUUUCUGAUUGAUAUUACCCUUCGAGGAAGUCACGGCUAACUACGUGCCAGCAGCCGCGGUAAUACGUAGGUGGCGAGCGUUAUCCGGAAUGAUUGGGCGUAAAGGGUGCGUAGGCUGUGAGGUAAGUCAGCGGUGAAAUGGCCCCGCUCAACGGGGUGAAGUGCCAUUGAUACUGCCUUGCUGGAAUGCGGAUGCGGUGGGAGGAAUGUGUGGUGUAGCGGUGAAAUGCAUAGAUAUCACACAGAACACCGAUUGCGAAGGCAUCUCACGAAUCCGCGAUUGACGCUGAUGCACGAAAGCGUGGGUAUCAAACAGGAUUAGAUACCCCGGUAGUC